ACAAGAUGGCGGGCUCGUGGUGAGAAGCUGUCAAGGAAUAGAAGUUGGUAUGCCUAGAAGCAGAUGUUAAAAGCAGUUUCUCUUCAGAACAUGUUUUUUCAUACCACUUGAUAAGCAUCUGGAAACACCAUGGCUGCAGCUGCAGUAAAAUGGGUGAUGUCAAAGAGAACUAUCUUGAAACAUUUAUUUCCAAUUCAAAAUGGAGCUUUAUAUUGUGUUUGUCAUAAAUCUACGUAUUCUCCUCUACCAGAUGACUAUAAUUGCAACGUAGAGCUUGCUCUGACUUCUGAUGGCAGGACAAUAGUAUGCUACCACCCUUCUGUGGACAUUCCAUAUGAACACACAAAACCUAUCCCUUGGCCAGAUCCUGUGCAUAACAAUGAAGAAACACAUGAGCAAGUGCUGAAAACCAGACUGGAAGAAAAAGUUGAACACCUUGAGGAAGGACCUAUGAUAGAACAACUUAGCAAAAUGUUCUUCACUACUAAGCACCAUUGGUAUCCUCAUGGACAGUAUCACAGACGUCGUAAGAAUCUGAAUCCUCCAAAAGACAGAUGAUGCUGAGGUUCUUGGGGGAAUCAAAGAGAAAUGUGCCUCAUUUGCCAUUUGAGAAAAUGUAGUCUGGUGUAUUCACUAAAAUACAGUAAAGUAAUAAUGAUAAAAUAUCUUUUCAUAUAUUAGAAUGUGUACUUAUAUAUAAAGUAAUUCUGGAUUUGACAUUCUUAUUUAGAGAAACCUAUUUUAUUUUUUUCUUUUUCGAUUUUAGUCUUUCAUUUAUGUACGGUCUCCAAUUUAGGACUUUUCCAUAGUGCCAAAGCCAUACAUAUUCAGUAGAAUAUCAAUAAAUUACAUCAGAAAUUCAACACUUUACUAUAAAAUGGGCUUUGUGUUAGAUAAUUUUGCUCAACUGUAGGCUACUGUAAAUGAUCUGAGCAUAUUUAAGACAGGCUAGCAUUUUCAGUUUACAAUAUUUUCAACUGAUAGUAGGUUUAUUGGGAUGUAACCCUACCAUAAGUUGAGAAACAUCUCUUUUUGGGUGUCUACUGUGAUUUAAGUAUUUUUAAUCAUCAGCAAAACAUUGUUAGUAGUGUAAAUAUGAUUAAUAAAAAGGUGCAUAGCUUUCAUGAAGGAGAUUUUUAAAUUGCUUUUGAGAAUAAACUCAUACGGUCUACCAAGGA